GGCAUGGCUGGUGCCUGGUCUUGUAGGCGGAGGGGAGCUUGCAAGGGGCAGGCGAGGCUAGAGGCAGGAAGUGGUGCCCGCCCUUGAAUUCAGUCGGACCACAGGUGUGGGCCACGACCCCUCGGCUUUUGGAGGGAAACGCACUGCAAAUUCGAGACCAGCUCGGAACUCCCGGAAAUGCUCCAGCCGCUGGAGCUCGGCUUCUCCUUCUGUCGAAUGGGCACAAUCCGCCCACUUCAGCGGCUUCCUGUCUGAGAUCCUAGGGGAAGUCCCUGGCAUGGGGCCCGCUUCACAGGCAUCCAGUCCCUGCUGUUCCUCAUGCUUCUUUCUUACACGCGGCGCAAUCACUCGCCUCUCCAGCCCUCAGUUUCCUUAUCUGGAAAAUGGGGGAGGCGUGCUGUCCGCCUUCCCACUGAGGGAAGCCUGUGAGCUGGAAGGCAGGAGGGGGACGCCUCCAUCCCCGCUGAGCCCUGGAAGUGCUGAGUAGGGGCUGGGGGGGAUGGAGAUGUCCGAGGAGCUGACCCUGCCCUGGAGACUUGUCGCCCCUCCCUCGGGCACCCUCCUGGUCUGCUCCCCGUUCUCUGUGGCUCUCGAGCUCUGAGAAAAUAGGAGACCCAAGCUCGGCUCAAAUCGCACCUGUCACCUCUGAGGCUCCCUCAGGGGUCCACGGGCCGACCGUCCUUCCUGGGUUGAAGAAACGUGUCAUCUUGGUUCUUCUCUGGGUCAACGUUCUCUGCAUUAGACAAGACAGAUCCUGGAGCCUUUCUCCUCAUGAUGGGAAAUCAGUCAGUCCUUCUCCAGCAGGUAUUCACCGAGCAAAACACCUAGGAGAAUGUUUCUGCUCCAGGCAUGUGUGAACUGGCUACAGUACCAUACUGUGUAUGGUGUUUGGAACAGUGGUGGGUACACGAAACUUUGUAGAUGUGUGUAAAUAUGUGUAUACCUCCAAGAGUUUCUUCACCAGGUCCCUAUGCCAUACAGUUCAGGCCACUGCCGUGUCUUCCUUGGAGCGUAACAGUAAAUGUUCAUAUAGACACAUACACAUAUAAGAGGUAAUAAUAUUCUUACUUGGUGCUAAACCUGGAUUUAAGUCCAGCUACUUUGCAUUUUUGAACUCAUUUGUCCUCUAAAGCUAUCGUCAUUCUCAUUUUACAGUUGGAAGUGCAAAGG
rnacentral:lncRNA from 1 species